rnacentral:rRNA from 1 species
CGGGAGGCAGCAGUAGGGAAUCUUCGGCAAUGGACGAAAGUCUGACCGAGCAACGCCGCGUGAGUGAAGAAGGUUUUCGGAUCGUAAAACUCUGUUGUUAGAGAAGAACAAGGGUGAGAGUAACUGUUCACCCCUUGACGGUAUCUAACCAGAAAGCCACGGCUAACUACGUGCCAGCAGCCGCGGUAAUACGUAGGUGGCAAGCGUUGUCCGGAUUUAUUGGGCGUAAAGCGAGCGCAGGCGGUUUCUUAAGUCUGAUGUGAAAGCCCCCGGCUCAACCGGGGAGGGUCAUUGGAAACUGGGAGACUUGAGUGCAGAAGAGGAGAGUGGAAUUCCAUGUGUAGCGGUGAAAUGCGUAGAUAUAUGGAGGAACACCAGUGGCGAAGGCGGCUCUCUGGUCUGUAACUGACGCUGAGGCUCGAAAGCGUGGGGAGCAAACAGGAUUAGAUACCCUGGUAGUCCACG